rnacentral:rRNA from 1 species
UGAGCAAUCUGCCCUUCACAUCGGGAUAACCCCCGGAAACGGGAGCUAAUACCGGAUACGACCACUUCAGGCAUCUGAUGGUGGUGGAAAGUUCUGGCGGUGAAGGAUGAGCUCGCGGCCUAUCAGCUUGUUGGUGAGGUAAUGGCCCACAAGGCUUCGGACGGGUAGCCGGCCUGAGGAGGGUGACCGGCCACACGUGGGACUGAGACACGGUCCAGACCUCCGUACG